rnacentral:rRNA from 1 species
GGACCCGCACAAGCGGUGGAGCAUGUGGUUUAAUUCGAAGCAACGCGAAGAACCUUACCAAAUCUUGACAUCCUUUGACCGCUCUAGAGAUAGAGUCUUCCCCUUCGGGGGACAAAGUGACAGGUGGUGCAUGGUUGUCGUCAGCUCGUGUCGUGAGAUGUUGGGUUAAGUCCCGCAACGAGCGCAACCCUUAAGCUUAGUUGCCAUCAUUAAGUUGGGCACUCUAAGUUGACUGCCGGUGACAAACCGGAGGAAGGUGGGGAUGACGUCAAAUCAUCAUGCCCCUUAUGAUUUGGGCUACACACGUGCUACAAUGGACAAUACAAAGGGCAGCUAAACCGCGAGGUCAAGCAAAUCCCAUAAAGUUGUCUCAGUUCGGAUUGUAGUCUGCAACUCGACUACAUGAAGCUGGAAUCGCUAGUAAUCGUAGAUC